rnacentral:tRNA from 1 species
UAAGAAAUUUAGGAUAAUAUUAAACCAAGGACCUUCAAAGUCCAAGACAUGGGCGAAACCCCCAUAAUUUCU